UGGGGAAUUUUGGACAAUGGGCGCAAGCCUGAUCCAGCCAUUCCGCGUGCAGGAUGAAGGCCUUCGGGUUGUAAACUGCUUUUGGACGGAACGAAAGGCCAUUUCCUAAUACGGGGUGGUCAUGACGGUACCGUCAGAAUAAGCACCGGCUAACUACGUUCCAGCAGCCGCGGUAAUACGUAGGGUGCAAGCGUUAAUCGGAAUUACUGGGCGUAAAGCGUGCGCAGGCGGUGAUGUAAGACAGAUGUGAAAUCCCCGGGCUCAACCUGGGAACUGCAUUUGUGACUGCAUCGCUAGAGUACGGCAGAGGGGGAUGGAAUUCCGCGUGUAGCAGUGAAAUGCGUAGAUAUGCGGAGGAACACCGAUGGCGAAGGCAAUCCCCUGGGCCUGUACUGACGCUCAUGCACGAAAGCGUGGGGAGCAAA
rnacentral:rRNA from 1 species